rnacentral:rRNA from 1 species
UUCAGCCUACGGGAGGCAGCAGUGAGGAAUAUUGGUCAAUGGGAGAGAUCCUGAACCAGCCACGCCGCGUGAGGGAUGACGGCCCUAUGGGUUGUAAACCUCUUUUGUCGGAGAACAAAACCCGGGACGUGUCCCGUACUGCGUGUAUCCGAAGAAAAAGCAUCGGCUAACUCCGUGCCAGCAGCCGCGGUAAUACGGAGGAUGCGAGCGUUAUCCGGAUUUAUUGGGUUUAAAGGGUGCGUAGGCGGUCCGUUAAGUCCGCGGUAAAAUUGCGGGGCUCAACCCUGUCGAGCUGUUUAAACUGG